AUGUCUUAAACCCAUGAGUAAGAAAAACAAUGAUUUGGGGUGAUGCCCAAAUCUUCACUGGUAAUGUGAGUUGAAAUUUUGAGUGUGUAAAGGUUGUCCUUCAGGUGACCUGUCUACAUUGUGGGAUGCCUAGGGGGGCGAUAUGCCCA
rfam:Canis lupus familiaris chromosome 6, whole genome shotgun sequence.